rnacentral:rRNA from 1 species
UAGAGUUUGAUCCUGGCUCAGGAUGAACGCUAGCUACAGGCUUAACACAUGCAAGUCGAGGGGAAACGACAUCGAAAGCUUGCUUUUGAUGGGCGUCGACCGGCGCACGGGUGAGUAACGCGUAUCCAACCUGCCCACCACUUGGGGAUAACCUUGCGAAAGUAAGACUAAUACCCAAUGAUAUCUCUAGAAGACAUCUGAAGGAGAUUAAAGAUUUAUCGGUGAUGGAUGGGGAUGCGUCUGAUUAGCUUGUUGGCGGGGUAACGGCCCACCAAGGCGACGAUCAGUAGGGGUUCUGAGAGGAAGGUCCCCCACAUUGGAACUGAGACACGGUCCAAACUCCUACGGGAGGCAGCAGUGAGGAAUAUUGGUCAAUGGGCGAGAGCCUGAACCAGCCAAGUAGCGUGCAGGAUGACGGCCCUAUGGGUUGUAAACUGCUUUUAUAAGGGAAUAAAGUGAGUCUCGUGAGACUUUUUGCAUGUACCUUAUGAAUAAGGACCGGCUAAUUCCGUGCCAGCAGCCGCGGUAAUACGGAAGGUCCGGGCGUUAUCCGGAUUUAUUGGGUUUAAAGGGAGCGUAGGCCGGAGAUUAAGCGUGUUGUGAAAUGUAGACGCUCAACGUCUGCACUGCAGCGCGAACUGGUUUCCUUGAGUACGCACAAAGUGGGCGGAAUUCGUGGUGUAGCGGUGAAAUGCUUAGAUAUCACGAAGAACUCCGAUUGCGAAGGCAGCUCACUGGAGCGCAACUGACGCUGAAGCUCGAAAGUGCGGGUAUCGAACAGGAUUAGAUACCCUGGUAGUCCGCACGGUAAACGAUGGAUGCCCGCUGUUGGUCUGAAUAGGUCAGCGGCCAAGCGAAAGCAUUAAGCAUCCCACCUGGGGAGUACGCCGGCAACGGUGAA